rnacentral:sRNA from 1 species
AUUUUUUGAGACACAGUCUCACUCUGUCGCCCAGGCUGGAGUGCAGUGGCAUGAUCUCACUUCACUGCAACCUCUGCCUCCUGGGUUCAAGCGAUUCUGGUGCCUCAGCCGCCCAAGUAGCUGGGAUUACAGACUGAACAGGAACAGUAUCGGUGAUGUCGGUUGCUGCCACCUUUCUGAGGCUCUCAGGGCUGCCACCAGCCUAGAGGAGCUGGACUUGAGCCACAACCAGAUUGGAGACGCUGGUGUCCAGCACUUAGCUACCAUCCUGCCUGGGCUGCCAGAGCUCAGGAAGAUAGACCUCUCAGUGAAUAGCAUCAGCUCAGCCGGGGGAGUGCAGUUGGCAGAGUCUCUUGUUCUUUGCAGGCGCCUGGAGGAGUUGAUGCUUGGCUGCAAUGCCCUGGGGGAUCCCACAGCCCUGGGGCUGGCUCAGGAGCUGCCCCAGCACCUGAGGGUCCUACACCUACCAUUCAGCCAUCUGGGCCCAGGUGGGGCCCUGAGCCUGGCCCAGGCCCUGGAUGGAUCCCCCCAUUUGGAAGAGAUCAGCUUGGCGGAAAACAACCUGGCUGGAGGGGUCCUGCGUUUCUGUAAGGAGCUCCCGCUGCUCAGACAGAUAGACCUGGUUUCCUGUAAGAUUGACAACCAGACUGCCAAGCUCCUCACCUCCAGCUUCACGAGCUGCCCUGCCCUGGAAGUAAUCUUGCUGUCCUGGAAUCUCCUGGGGGAUGAGGCGGCUGCCGAGCUGGCCCAGGUGCUGCCGCAGAUGGGCCGGCUGAAGAGAGUGGACCUGGAGAAGAAUCAGAUCACAGCUUUGGGGGCCUGGCUCCUGGCUGAAGGACUGGCCCAGGGGUCUAGCAUCCAAGUCAUCCGCCUCUGGAAUAACCCCAUUCCCUGCGACAUGGUCCAGCACCUGAAGAGCCAGGAGCCCAGGCUGGACUUUGCCUUCUUUGACAACCAGCCCCAGGCCCCUUGGGGUACUUGAUGGCCCCCUCAAGACCUUUGGAAUCCAGCCAAGUGAUGCACCCAAAUGAUCCACCUUUCGCCCACUGGG